AUUGAACGCUGGCGGCAGGCUUAACACAUGCAAGUCGAGCGGGGUGAUGGUGCUUGCACUAUCACUUAGCGGCGGACGGGUGAGUAAUGCUUAGGAAUCUGCCUAUUAGUGGGGGACAACAUCUCGAAAGGGAUGCUAAUACCGCAUACGUCCUACGGGAGAAAGCAGGGGAUCACUUGUGACCUUGUGCUAAUAGAUGAGCCUAAGUCGGAUUAGCUAGUUGGUGGGGUAAAGGCCUACCAAGGCGACGAUCUGUAGCGGGUCUGAGAGGAUGAUCCGCCACACUGGGACUGAGACACGGCCCAGACUCCUACGGGAGGCAGCAGUGGGGAAUAUUGGACAAUGGGGGGAACCCUGAUCCAGCCAUGCCGCGUGUGUGAAGAAGGCCUUAUGGUUGUAAAGCACUUUAAGCGAGGAGGAGGCUUACCUAGUUAAUACCUGGGAUAAGUGGACGUUACUCGCAGAAUAAGCACCGGCUAACUCUGUGCCAGCCGCCGCCGUAACAC
rnacentral:rRNA from 1 species